AGGGCAAGACACCUGUCGCCAGGAGGGACACCUGUCACAUGAGGGUCUUAUGACCUACUUUCAGUGUAGGAUACAGACAGGACCAGCCAACUGAAGAGACGCACAGGAAAGCGUCAUCUCGCCCUCUUGGGUUGCCCUUUCCGCUACCUCACUCCUCAUGCGCCAGCAAAGCGGCUUUUCAUCCUCGAAAACGUCCCGCCUGGCGACCGGUGGACAAGCUAUCACUUGAGAUCUCAUGACUGACAAUCCUGCCCAGCCACCUCAUGUUUUGGAGAGCUUGCCGAUGACAUUGAAGAGAUGACACGGAAGUGAGGUUUGCAAAAUAUCUAACAAUAGCGAGUGGUUAAGUAUAUUGUGAUUCCACCUAUUGGAUGAAAUAGUGUGAUCUAAUACAUGUUUAGGAGGUUUGUAAUAAAACAGAAAUGCUUCUGUAUAAUAAUAUUAUGAGGGAAAGUCAGCACAAUUGUGAUGAAAAAUGUACCCAUAAUCUGAGACACUGGAAAAACACAAAGAAAAGCCUAGAAAGAAAUAGUCUGAAAUGUGGGUGAUUAUCCCCCAUCUUCUUUACAGUUCUCUGUAUUGAAAACUUUUUCU